rnacentral:tRNA from 1 species
AAACAAGAAGCUAUUAGCAACUAAUUUCGACCUAGUCAAUUGACAUAACUGUCCUUGUUUU